rnacentral:rRNA from 1 species
AAUUGGAUGCAACGCGAAGAACCUUACCUGGUCUUGACAUAUCUAGAAUCCUGCAGAGAUGCGGGAGUGCCUUCGGGAAUUAGAAUACAGGUGCUGCAUGGCUGUCGUCAGCUCGUGUCGUGAGAUGUUGGGUUAAGUCCCGCAACGAGCGCAACCCUUGUCCUUAGUUACCAGCGGGUUAAGCCGGGAACUCUAAGGAUACUGCCAGUGACAAACUGGAGGAAGGCGGGGACGACGUCAAGUCAUCAUGGCCCUUACGACCAGGGCUACACACGUGCUACAAUGGUAGGUACAGAGGGCAGCUACACAGCGAUGUGAUGCGAAUCUCAAAAAGCCUAUCGUAGUCCAGAUUGGAGUCUGCAACUCGACUCCAUGAAGUAGGAAUCGCUAGUAAUCGCGGAUCAGAAUGCCGCGGUGAAUACGUUCCCGGGCCUUGUACACACCGCCCGUCACACCAUGGGAGUUGAUUGCACCAGAAGUGGAUAGCUUAACCUUCGGGGAGGCGUUCACCACGGUGUGGUUGAUGACUGGGGUGAAGUCGUAACAAGGUA